rnacentral:lncRNA from 1 species
CAGGUGUGAGCCACCACGCCUGGCCAACUAUUGAAUUUUCUAACCUGUACUUUUUACUUUUUAAAGUUAUCAACAGUGGCCAGCGCAGUGGCUCACACCUGUAAUCCAGCAUUUUGGGAAGCUGAGGCGCGUGGAUCACUUGAGGUCAGGAGUUCAAGACCAGCCUGGCCCAUGUGGUGAAAUCCUUUAUUAAAAAAUACAAAAUUAGCUGGGCAUGGUGGCGGGCACCUGUAAUCCUCAGAGGCUGAGGCAGGAGAACUGCUUGAACCCGGGAGGUGGAGGUAGCACUGAGCCAAGAUUGGGCCACUGCACACCAGCCUGGGCGACAGAGUGAGACUCCAUUUCAAACAAGUAAAGAUAAAAUAAUCAACAGUGGUUAUUAUGAGCUACUUUUUCUUUAAAUUUCGCCAGAUCUCAGCUCACUGUAACCUCUGCCUCCUGUGUUCAACCGAUUCUCCUGUCUCGGACUCCCGAGUAGCUGGGAUUACAGGCACGAGCCACCACACCCGUCUUACUUUUUUUUGUAUUUUUAGUAGAGAUGGGGUUUCACCUUGUUGGCCAGGCUGGUCUUGAACUCCUGACCUCAAGUGAUAACGCCUGCCUCAGCCUCUCAAAGUGCUGGGAUUAUAGGUGGGAGCCACCAUGCCCAGCCCAAAGUUUUUUUGAUAGGAGUCCGCUUUCCCUUUCCUUGGAUUUAAGCUGGUCUUGGUGACUUAUGUGACCAGUAGAAUACAGAAGUGAUGUUCUGGGACUUGUGAGGCUAAGUCAUAAGAAGCCUUCUAGCUUCCAACAGGCCUCUUGGAAUACACAUUCGUGGAGUCGUGAGUCACCGAAUAAUAAGUCCAACUACCACGUGGCACUGAAACCACAUGGAGAGCUGCAAAUGAGAGAUGGGCCAGGGAGGCCCAGCUUUCUAGCCUUCCCUGCCAAGGGCAUGUGGGGAAGCCAUCUUGGACCCUCCAGAUGAGCCCAGUCAUCACCUGAAUAUCCCCAGGCAGCUCUGGUGGUACCUCAUGGGACAGAAAUGUCCAGUUGAGCUCUGUCUGAUUUCCUGACAUAGAACUGCGAGAUAUAAUAAAGUGGUGGUUGCUUUAAGUCACUAAGUUUUAGAGUUGUCACACAGCCAGCUGAAACACUUGGAAAUACUGUGCUUGUGGCUUUUUUAAUUUUUGCCAGUUUGAUGCACUUAAAAAAACCAGGGGAGUAUAUGUUUUAUUGCAUUAAUGAUUAAAAGUAUGCUAGUCUAAAAAAUAUAAAAUAAUUUAAACCUUAUUUUUUUCUAGUUGACUUCUCAAAAAUGGUGGCAUACUCAAGAGCUCCCUUCAGAGUGGUUUCUUAAUUUUAUACUCUCUUUUUUCUUAUUUCUCCAUCAGAAUCAUCACUUUCCUAAGUGCUUUCUGGUAAGGUUGCAAAAUUGGAUAAGCUGUGACCCAUUCAAACUCUUUCACCUUCUCUUUUUCCACUUGAGAUUUUAGGAAAGAUGGAACGGGGCUGGAGCGCUUCUGAGCGUGUCUUUGCUUUGAGUUCUCUCCCUCAGAUCAUUCGGUCUUGGUGUCCCUUCAUCUGUUCCUUUGUCCAUGCCACCUUGUGCUUACUGGUUUCAGUUUUGUGUGUUUUCUGGAUAUUUUCAUGCUUUCCAUCCUUUUCCCGUGUUAGUAUUUUAGGGGAAAGUAUUUCACUGGGAAUUCUUUGAGGGAGCAGUCGGUGUUUGUGGUCUCUGAGGCCUCUGGUUUGUUCAGCCUGGUAUAUGUUUCUUUGUAAGACUCAGUUCCCUCUCAGGCACUAGAUAGUCCCAUUUUUUAGUAUCUUCUGUUUUCUCACGUUGUGAUCUCUUUUCCUCUUCCUCUAUUUUAGUUUCCCAUUUUGGAACCAUAUUGUAUUUCCAUGCUUCUUCCAUCAUCAUUUCUUGAUGCUAUUGAUAGUAGUACGCCUCUGCUUUAGCAAACUGGAAAUCAGAAGACACGGCCUUAAGUUUAUGAAGUGUUUCAUUCUCCUGCUGAAACUUGUGGACUAAACAGUUUCCUCACUUCUGAAGAAUGGACACCACCUAGGCUGGGCG